rnacentral:rRNA from 1 species
UUUCGCGCUGGAGUAUCUGGCGAAAGCGACGCCAAAACAUGAUUCGCUGAUCGGGCCGGUACUGGGCCGGACCGCGCAGUACUGGAACUAUCCUCAAGCCAAACUGUUUCUUGAAACCUUCAUCCGGGAUCGCCUGAAGGAUGGCGAGGUGCCGCGUUUCGAUGAGGGAUUGGAAAACCUUGACCGCGAUGAGACCGAUGAACUGGGAAAAUUCCUGGGCGACCUGGAACCGGAAAUCGGCGAACCGUUGGUGGAGGCCUUCCGGGUUUGGGACGAGAGCCGGAUUGACCUGAAGUUGUUGAAUUCGAUCGGCACGG